GGCUUCCUGAAUGACGUUAUUGUUAUUCAUGUAAGAGUUAAUACUAGAUGCACAUGCAACACUCCCCUGGCUAGCGAUGAACAGUUGGCCGGAGAGCAUCGAACAUAAGGUGGAAAUUCCCUCCUUCGUUGUAGGCGAUGAAUGUGUGUACUCGAAGAUUGACCAAAUUCUCAACGCAAAGUUUAAUGAAACAACACAGAUUUGUUGUCGGUCAGGUGUCCAGUGCGAGAUAUCGAGAGGAAAUGGAAAUUGGUUGUUGUGGUGAAGGAAUUUACAAACUUCAAAUAGAAUUGUGUUACAACGAUCAAGUGUACGUAAAGGAAAUGCAAACAAACUGUGAUUGCAAGUGUGGAAAAUCAAAUUUUGAGAAGGACGAGAACAGAGUGAAAUCAGGUGUGCCUAAAGUUGGCUCACUGAGGACUCGUCAUAACCGUUGGAAAGAGUUGAACAGUUUGAGAGAAAGGUGCCGAAAGAAAUAUCGAAGCAACUCUAAAAUUUUGUUUUGCAUCUGGAAGUUACGGAAAACGAAAUCUAAAAACAUCAAACAUAUCUUAAUAUCCAUACUUAGUGGCAAAUCCUUUUUUAUAAGAGUUUAA
rnacentral:sRNA from 1 species